rnacentral:misc_RNA from 1 species
GAUGAAGAAUGUAGCGAAAUGCGAUAAUUAAUGUGAAUUGCAGAAUUCCGUGAAUCAUCGAGUCUUUGAACGCACAUUGCGCCUCAUGGCAUUCCGUGAGGCAUGCCCAUCUCAGCGUUAGAAAAUAUUCUCAAAUUUUAGUUUUGUGCUAAAAUUUGGAUCAUGUCAAGGAAGCUAUUACUAUUAUUGUGAUCGCUCUUUGGAAAUUGAUAGGUCUUUGAGUUGCUACUCAUAGAACGUGAUGAAUCUUUCUUCGUUCUAUUGUAAUUCACUCUGGUAGUCCUAAAACUUGUAUGCCUGUGGCAUAUCUUGUAAUUUGACCUGAGAUUGGGUAGGGAUACCCGCUGAACUUAAGCAUAUCAAUAAGCGGAGGA